AUUGAACGCUGGCGGCAGGCCUAACACAUGCAAGUCGAGCGGAUGAAGGGAGCUUGCUCCUGGAUUCAGCGGCGGACGGGUGAGUAAUGCCUAGGAAUCUGCCUGGUAGUGGGGGAUAACGUCCGGAAACGGGCGCUAAUACCGCAUACGUCCUGAGGGAGAAAGUGGGGGAUCUUCGGACCUCACGCUAUCAGAUGAGCCUAGGUCGGAUUAGCUAGUUGGUGGGGUAAAGGCCUACCAAGGCGACGAUCCGUAACUGGUCUGAGAGGAUGAUCAGUCACACUGGAACUGAGACACGGUCUAGACUCCUACGGGAGGCAGCAGUGGGGAAUAUUGGACAAUGGGCGAAAGCCUGAUCCAGCCAUGCCGCGUGUGUGAAGAAGGUCUUCGGAUUUUAAAGCACUUUAAGUUGGGAGGAAGGGCAGUAAGUUAAUACCUUGCUGUUUUGACGUUACCAACAGAAUAAGCACCGGCUAACUUCGUG
rnacentral:rRNA from 1 species